rnacentral:rRNA from 1 species
AUUGAACGCUGGCGGUAUGCUUAAGACAUGCAAGUCGUGCGGUAGGGGCUUCGGCCCUGAGAGCGGCGGACGGGUGAGUAACGCGUGGGAAUCUGCCUGCUAGUGGGGGAUAGCCCGGAGAAAUCCGGAUUAAUACCGCAUACGCCCUAAGGGGAAAGCCGCAAGGCGCUAGUAGAUGAGCUCGCGUAAGAUUAGCUAGUUGGUGAGGUAAAGGCUCACCAAGGCGACGAUCUUUAGCUGGUCUGAGAGGAUGGCCAGCCACAUCGGGACUGAGACACGGCCCGGACUCCUACGGGAGGCAGCAGUCGGGAAUAUUGGACAAUGGGCGCAAGCCUGAUCCAGCAAUACCGCGUGUGUGAAGAAGGCCUGCGGGUUGUAAAGCACUUUCAGUUGGGAAGAUAAUGACGUUACCAACAGAAGAAGCACCGGCUAACUCCGUGCCAGUAGCCGCGGUAAGGCACGACUGU